UACGUAGGGUGCAAGCGUUAAUCGGAAUUACUGGGCGUAAAGCGUGCGCAGGCGGUUAUGCAAGACAGAUGUGAAAUCCCCGGGCUCAACCUGGGAACUGCAGUUGUGACUGCAUGGCUAGAGUACGGUAGAGGGGGAUGGAAUUCCGCGUGUAGCAGUGAAAUGCGUAGAUAUGCGGAGGAACACCGAUGGCGAAGGCAAUCCCCUGGACCUGUACUGACGCUCAUGCACGAAAGCGUGGGGAGCAAACAGG
rnacentral:rRNA from 1 species